rnacentral:rRNA from 1 species
CGGCAAGCCUGACGGAGCGACGCCGCGUGCGGGAUGAAGGCCUUCGGGUUGUAAACCGCUGUCAGAGGGGAUGAAAGCCGCAAGGCUUGACAGAGCCUCAGAGGAAGCACGGGCUAAGUUCGUGCCAGCAGCCGCGGUAAGACGAACUGUGCGAACGUUAUUCGGAAUCACUGGGCUUACAGGGUGCGUAGGCGGCCUGUUAAGUAGGGUGUGAAAUCCCCCGGCCCAACCGGGGAAUGGCGCUCUAAACUGGCAGGCUUGAGUGAGCUAGGGGUGCAUGGAACUUCCAGUGGAGCGGUGAAAUGUGUUGAUAUUGGAAGGAACACCGGAGGCGAAAGCGAUGCACUGGGGCUUAACUGACGCUGAGGCACGAAAGCCAGGGUAGCGAACGGGAUUAGAUACCCCGGUAGUCCUGGCCGUAAACGAUGAGCACUAGGCGGGAGGAGGUUCGCCCCCUCCGGCCGUAGCGAAAGCGUUAAGUGCUCCGCCUGGGGAGUAUGGUCGCAAGGCUG